rnacentral:rRNA from 1 species
GACGAACGCUGGCGGCGUGCUUAACACAUGCAAGUCGAGCGGUAAGGCCCUUUCGGGGGUACACGAGCGGCGAACGGGUGAGUAACACGUGGGUGACCCGCCUCUAGCUCUGGGAUAAGCCUGGGAAACUGGGUCUAAUACCGGAUAUGACUCCACGGCGCAUGUUGUGGGGUGGAAAGCCUUGUGUGGCUAGAGAUGGGCCCGCGGCCUAUCAGCUUGUUGGUGGGGUGAUGGCCUACCAAGGCGA